rnacentral:rRNA from 1 species
GGAAUAUUGGACAAUGGGCGAAAGCCUGAUCCAGCAAUGCCGCGUGAGUGAUGAAGGCCUUAGGGUUGUAAAGCUCUUUUACCCGGGAUGAUAAUGACAGUACCGGGAGAAUAAGCCCCGGCUAACUCCGUGCCAGCAGCCGCGGUAAUACGGAGGGGGCUAGCGUUGUUCGGAUUUACUGGGCGUAAAGGGCGCGUAGGCGGCCACCGCAAGUCGACUGUGAAAUCUCCGGGCUUAACCCGGAAAGGUCAGCCGAUACUGCGGGGCUAGAGUGCAGAAGGGGCAACUGGAAUUCUCGGUGUAGCGGUGAAAUGCGUAGAUAUCGAGAGGAACACCUGCGGCGAAGGCGGGUUGCUGGGCUGACACUGACGCUGAGGCGCGAAAGCAUGGGGAGCGAA